rnacentral:rRNA from 14 species
CCGUACCCCAAACCGACACAGGUGGUCAGGUAGAGAAUACUAAGGCGCUUGAGAGAACUCGGGUGAAGGAACUAGGCAAAGUGGUACCGUAACUUCGGGAGAAGGUACGCCACUUGGUGUGAAGGGCUUGCCCCGUAAGCACCGAGUGGUCGCAGUGAAAAGGCCCCUGCAACUGUUUAUUAAAAACACAGCACUGUGCAAACGCGUAAGCGGACGUAUAGGGUGUGACGCCUGCCCGGUGCCGGAAGGUUAAUUGAUGGGGUUAGCGCUUGCGCGAAGCUCUUGAUCGAAGCCCCGGUAAACGGCGGCCGUAACGAUAACGGUCCUAAGGUAGCGAAAUUCCUUGUCGGGUAAGUUCCGACCUGCACGAAUGGCGUAACGAUCGCCCCACUGUCUCCACCCGAGACUCAGUGAAAUCGAAAUCGCAGUGAAGAUGCUGUGUACCCGCGGCUAGACGGAAAGACCCCGUGAACCUUUACUACAGCUUGGCACUGAACAUUGACCCUACAUGUGUAGGAUAGGUGGGAGGCUUUGAAGCGUUGUCG